rnacentral:rRNA from 1 species
UACGUAGGGCGCAAGCGUUGUCCGGAAUUAUUGGGCGUAAAGAGCUCGUAGGCGGCCAGUUGCGUCCGCUGUGAAAUCCCGGGGCUUAACCCCGGGCGUGCAGUGGAUACGGGCUGGCUAGAGGCAGGCAGGGGAGAACGGAAUUCCCGGUGUAGCGGUGAAAUGCGCAGAUAUCGGGAGGAACACCUGUGGCGAAAGCGGCUCACUGGACCACAACUGACGCUGAUGCACGAAAGCUAGGGGAGCAAACAGG